GUUACAGAGGAAGACAUGGAGGCCUAGAGAGGUUGGGGGCUUCGCUGGGGGUCACGUGGCACUUCCAGGUGGAAGCUGGAUACAAGAGUCUGGUCCAGGCCUGUUUCCACAAUCUCGUGAAACAACUCACUUUCUCAGAAGCCAAACAGCAUUUCAACUCUGUAUAUUUAACUCUCGACUAUGUUGCCAGCAAAGGUCCCAGAGGAAAGAGUAAGGCAUAUAGCCAGGGAGGAUGCAGCUACCACCCGCCUAGAUCAUAUUAUCUCAGGUACUCCGAUCAAUUCCAAUUUCUCUAUUCCUCUACUCAUUAUGGAUUAAGAGAAGAAGAAAGCAAAAACGAGAAAAAGAGGAAGAGAGAAGACAAGAAGGGGAGGAAGCUCUGGAGAAUUAAAAUUUGGGUUGAGAAUAUAUGGUUAUUUUUAACUUUCUUAAGAGGGAAUAAACAAACAUAAACACA
rnacentral:lncRNA from 1 species